GAGGAAGCACAAAAUCUGACGUCUUAACAGAUCAUCCAUCCGUUGGGCGCCGCCUCGGCGCACCCAUCCUCCAAAUUAAAAUCAAUUCAAUUUUCCUCUCUCUCUCUCUCUCUCUCUCUCUCUGCGCGCACCUAUAAAUAUCAACCACAGCACGCUCAUAUAAGCCCUUAAGCUCACCCCAUAUACUCUGUUGACAUUGAUUCAACCUACUGUUAUUCAUUUUAAGUUCAUUCUCCAAUUCCUUAAUUUCCUCCUCUUACAGCUUCUUCCUUUCUAUGAUUUAGCACAUGUAUAAUCGAUCAAUAACCAGAUCGACCUAUUCAAAGAGUUUGAUUUAUAUAUUUAUAUAUAGAUAUUGGAUCCGCCAUGGGAGAGAAUAAUAAAGGGAAUCUGCACUAUCUUCCACCUGGUUUUCGAUUUUAUCCAACAGACGAAGAGCUCGUAGUCCACUUCCUUCAUCGCAAGGCCUCCCUCUUGCCCUGCCAUCCCGACGUCAUCCCCGAUCUCGACCUCCUCACUUUCGAUCCAUGGGACCUCAACGGUAAAGCUCUUGGGGAGGGGAAUCAAUGGUACUUCUUCAGCCGGAAGACACCGGAGCGGUUAACCCCGAAUGGGUGCUGGAAGGCGGUGGGAAUUGAGGAACCUGUUGUCUCAAGCGCCAGCAAUAAGAGAGUGGGCAUGAAGAAAUAUUUUGUGUUCCACCUCGUCGGAGAAGCUGCCGCCGCCGACGUCCAAACAAACUGGGUAAUGCACGAGUACCGUCUCUCCGAUGCUGCCGCUGCUUCCACCAGCAGAUCCUCCAAAAGAAGACCCCAUCCUGAUUAUAGUAAAUGGGUUCUCUGUCGAGUAUACGAGCACAAUUCCGACAACGACGACGACGGCGGGAACGAGCUGUCGUGUCUGGAUGAAAUAUUUUUAUCAUUAGACGACUUGGAUGAAAUAAGUUUUCCAGAACCACAUGCGCUUAAGAAAUCAUACAUUUAGAUGCAUGUUGGGUAACUAGCUAGCUAGCUAGCUAGCACAAUUCUUCAUCCAAAUAAGGUUGACAUGUGUGACAGAAAAUCUUAAGCCUGGGGCGCACUGAAAGAUAGUGAAGGGGAGCCAUUGGUUGAGGAUUCACGUGCAGAGAUUAUUAUCAGAAAAGGGGGAAGGAUAAAGGUUGGGGAAGAAGAGUGGAGCCCGGCCGGCACCGUAAGCUUGCGGGUUCAGCAUUGAUAUAUGGGGCAUGGGGCAUGACAACCCUUACUCUCUCUCUCCGUGCUGCUUUGUCUUUUACUGCAAUGAUGGGAUUUUUUUGUAUUUGUUGCGUGCGACAAAGAUGAGGAGCAUUUGCUUUGCUCUUUUUAUUUUAUUUAUUGGGUGCCUGCUUAGACAAGCAUUGGGUCAUAUGUGACGUAGGUUUCAACUUUGAACCCCAUUCCCUCAACCCCCACUAUGCUUUUUAUCCCCUACGCACAUAUGCUUAUUUUCAA